UACCUUGUAACUUGUGAAAGUCCUAAGUUGCAGAUUUAGUUAAGGAGAAUUUUUCCCUUGGUAU
rnacentral:tRNA from 1 species